rnacentral:rRNA from 1 species
GAGGUAUCAGAAGUGCGAAUGCUGACAUAAGUAACGAUAAAGCGGGUGAAAAGCCCGCUCGCCGGAAGACCAAGGGUUCCUGUCCAACGUUAAUCGGGGCAGGGUGAGUCGACCCCUAAGGCGAGGCCGAAAGGCGUAGUCGAUGGGAAACAGGUUAAUAUUCCUGUACUUGGUGUUACUGCGAAGGGGGGACGGAGAAGGCUAUGUUGGCCGGGCGACGGUUGUCCCGGUUUAAGCGUGUAGGCUGGUUUUCCAGGCAAAUCCGGAAAAUCAAGGCUGAGGCGUGAUGACGAGGCACUACGGUGCUGAAGCAACAAAUGCCCUGCUUCCAGGAAAAGCCUCUAAGCAUCAGGUAACAUCAAAUCGUACCCCAAACCGACACAGGUGGUCAGGUAGAGAAUACCAAGGCGCUUGAGAGAACUCGGGUGAAGGAACUAGGCAAAAUGGUGCCGUAACUUCGGGAGAAGGCACGCUGAUAUGUAGGUGAAGUCCCUCGCGGAUGGAGCUGAAAUCAGUCGAAGAUACCAGCUGGCUGCAACUGUUUAUUAAAAACACAGCACUGUGCAAACACGAAAGUGGACGUAUACGGUGUGACGCCUGCCCGGUGC